UAUAUAUGGAAAAAAAAAAAUAUGAGGAUUCCUAUUGCCAAAGAGCAAUGUAAGAAUUUGAGAUGCUGUGCUGCCUCAUACAGAGCUGGGUUCACCCAGUAAGGAUAGCAUACAAGGGAUUUGCAUCUUUUGGCCUUAGGAUUUGUGAAUCAUGUAUUUAUUUCAGUAGAAUCGAUGAAGAAAUCAUUUGUUCAAUGACAAUUCAAUAGUAAAUGGGGAAAGGGAUUCUUAAAUAUGGAUGAACAAUGACUGUUGAUUCAGUAUGAGUUACAACAAUGAAUUCCAUAUAGAAGAGAAUCUUGGCAAUUGUCUGUCUUUCAGGUAGGUUAUCUCAAGGUUGAUUUUACCUUUCUGCUUUGUACUUCUCAGGAUGACCCUCAUACUUCUCUGAGAAGCUCCAAGCUCCUAUGUGUUGAAGGGGAACAGAGGCAAUGCAGUACUAUGUGGUUCUGUUCAAGACAUCCAGUGCUGCUAUCGGUAAGUAGCAACUGAAAUCAAAGAAUGCCAACAGUGACCAAUGAAACUAUUGAUAUGAAACAAUGAUUUGAUUAGGUUUAUUAUUUGGUUUUAUAAUGAAAAUGACUGAUAACCAUAAUGCAUUCAAUGACAUAAGCAAUCCUGUAAGGAUAUUUUAGGGAUAGCUAUAGAUCUUUCCCUCCCUUAAGAUGUAUGGCUCAUAGGCUACUGCUCUUAGGUUAAUGCCAUUAAAGAAGUGAAAAAUAAAUUAGUAAGCAACUGUAGAUUUUUAUAUGAAACAGGAAGUGCUGUAUACUUGCUGCGAUCAUUUGCAAAUGAUCUAGUAUAUAAAAAUCUAAUUCUUUUAGUUCUGGUGGGCUGGUUUCUUUUUCUCAUUUAUUGAUAUAUUUUAAUAGUAUGUACAAUCUAAACAUAAAUGGCCCAAAGUCAUGAAUGGUAUCAAAUCUUAUCUCAAGUAUUAAAUCAUUAUAUUUCCAGACUGAACCCCAUAAAACCCCAAAACAAACCUUUUCUAUUUCCUUUAUCAGAAAUGAAGCUAUUGUCAGAUAACAGGAGCAUUGGGUAGACUUGUUUUGGGCCUUGGCAGCUUGUUGCUAAGUGCUAAUGUGUCCUAAGCAAAUCAAUAAACACAAGUGCUGUGAAUGAGGAUGGAUGAGCCAGCUAAAGUGCAGCCUCGUUAAGAGCUUGUUUACUGGAGCUGGGUUUGUUAUUUUGUAUCUCUACCACUGCUGUCUGUGGAUAAAAAUAGAAGUCUGUAACCCACGUCAGCAGCCAGCUUAUAACAGAUGCUUCAGUUCACUGUGUCUCUGUCCAAUGGGACUUUCUAUGCUUCUGACCUUUAGCAAGUUAGUAACAGGUACGCAAAUAUCCACAUUUAAAAAAAAAUUAAAGAAAGGAAAAUGUCCUAGGUAUGUACCAAGGGUGAGUACAUUUAAUACCAUGUAUUACAUACUAAUCAGAGUCUGAGUUAAAAAGAAAUCAAGGUUCCUCAUUUGUUUAUAUAACUACAUUGUUUCAUUUUAAACUACCCAUUUAUUCCAUGUUUCUGCCUUAGCAGAUCUGUGUCCCAGAUAUUUAAAGUUUAUAAUAGACACAUACUAAGCACAUUAUGAUACAUAGAGACAAGUGUCUAAAGCAAAUUAAACAGGGAUAGUGUAUGGUCAAUGGGAUGCUUAUGUUCUUCUGCCUUUUACAUCUAUUCAGUAGUGUCUGUAGUCAGUGUGAUAGAAAUUAUCCUAGUUAGUUCCAAGGAUGGCACCAACCAUUGCAAGGAGCUGCAAGGUCCCUGCCUUCAUCUUGGUUGUCUGUUUAUGGUGUCCACUAUGGUGUUAAAGUCACUGGUGUACUCAGGAAUAUGUCAUGGCUAAAUGUCCUUAUCCUGGGUCGGUUGUGAAUUUCAAGCUGUCAGUUUUAGUAUAAAAAGAAGUCAUUAAAUAAUUAUUUGUAGGAGAAAAGCCUGAUAUAUACUAGAUGGAAUAUAUUUUUAUAAUAUCUUGAAACGUUUUUCUUUUAAUAUUUUGUACAACGAUAGUAUCUUGGAUGAGGUAGAGGAGCAGCCAACACCCUUCCUCCAUAGAAGUUUUCACAUAUACUCACUGAGUGCAUUCAAAUUGUCCAACUUACUCUAGAGACCCGAUGUCCAGAAACGCAGUCUAUCUAAAUAAAAGAUUACAUUCGUGACCCAUUAGCAUUUCUCAUUCCACUCAUUAUCAUUUCUUAUAAAUUCACCUGGCUUUUCCCUCUCACAUCCUCCUUUAUUUACAUGUCUUGAGUGCGUGAGUGUUUGUGCUUGUGUGUAAAAGUUUAACACAUCCUCCAAACAUUCUGUAAGAGGUAAAUGUGCUUAGUAUAUAAGAUAUUAUAGAAGAUAACUACUUUUGUUGUGGAGCGAGAAUUCAGAGAGGUACAUACUGGUCAGUGUCAGUGAGCUAAUGCUGCAUCCUGCUGUCAGUAGGAUGAACAGAUUCCACAGGGAAGGACAAGGGACCCAACUGUGUUUAUGACCAAGGAGUCCAUGACCUUCCGAUGUGCCUACCAAGCAGGGAUUUGCAUGUUUGUCUCUGGGGAUGAAUACACAGAUUUUGGUAAUAUCUGAGGUCCAUCCUUUCAGGUUCUAUUACAUCAUAGGUUUGAUUUUGUUCUUAAAAAUCAUCAAAUGGAAGAUGAAAGAAAUGACACAGUGUAUAAAAUGAAGGUCACGAGAUUUGGGCAAGCAUGAUAGUCCACAGUGAGAUUAGGGUUAGUAUUAACGUGUGUUAGGCCCUGGACACCCACUAAAGCGUGGAAGAGGCUGCCUUUGGGGAUAUGGGUAAGUGUUUGAGACCUCACUAUUUGGAAAUGCUUAGAGGAAGAAAAGGGAAGAGAGAAUUAUGUAAUGUUACAAUAUGAAAACAUACAAGAAAUAAUUUCUCAAAAAAUAAAAGAUAGAGAGAAAAGACAUGAAAUAGUCAGGGUUCUUAAUUUGGGUCCAUGAAGAGUUCAUGGACCCAAACAGUAUUCAUAAGCUUGCUUAAGAAAAACAACACAAUCAAAUAAAAUAAAACAAUCAGAAAACAAAACCAAAAAAAAAAUAUCACAAAAUAAUAAAUACUAAAAUGACUAACACUGAUAUUUGAAAGCCAUUUGUUAAUGAAAUGUUUGUUAAUAGGGGAUGUAUUUUUUAUUUGUUUGUUUGUUUUAAUUGUUGUUUCUUUCAGACAAGUUCUCACUAUGUAGCUCUGGUAGGCUUGGCACUAACUCAGUAUGCAAACAAAGCUGGUCUUGACCUCAUAGAUCCACCUAUGCCUCCUGGGUGCUGCGAUUAAGUGCCAGUACCCUUGGUGUCUCUCAAUAUUUUAUUAGCAUCAUUUUACAUGUGCUUCAGAAUAAAUGCACUAAGCUCACUAAGGGAGGGCCCUGAAAUCUCGUGCAGGGAAGACAAAGAUGCAAAUCAUUCUGUGGCAAUUAUUUCUAGUAUUCAGAGGUGGGUAUUUAUUAUUGUUUACCGGCUGGAAAAGUAACAGAUAAAUGUAGAAAGGGGAGAGCAAGGAAUGAAGUCCUGACCCUGAAUGAUGACUGUGGCUGAGUAUCUGUACCAUGAGUAAUGAAUAAUUCAUGUCAGAAAAUCUGGUUUAGUUCAGACAGAGAUUGGUUGUACUAGCUUUGCUGGGACUAAUCCUGUGGAGACUUGAGCUAUCCCAAAUGUCGUGUUCUUUGGAAUUUGUGCUUCAUGAAUUUUGAUUGUUAUUACAAAAAAAAAUCAGUGACCAAAUUUACACUUUGAUUAAAUAAAAAAAAAAAACAGGAUGAAGGAGUGGUAAGAAAUAUUUUUAAUAUAACUUGCAAAUUUGUCCCUGUGUCAGUGUUCUGGGGAGCUGUCCCAUUGCCCAGUGUUGCACAGACAGGUGGACAUCAUAGCCAGAACUGUUGUUCUGAGUCAGUGAUUUGUACCCUGUUAGUACUGAUGGUCGUUGUUGCAAGAGGAGAAGUACUAAGGCUUUACACAUUAAUUUUUUUCUUAUUAUGGGUAGGUAUUAAAUCUUGGAUUUUUCUUAAGAGAAAAUAUAUGUUAUAAAACAUUAAUAAAUGUGUGGAUUGGAGGAGGAAAAUCUCCUUAGUGCUCUCUUUCAUCUUCCCAGGUUCCUUUGCUGUCAGAGCUUUUGGCCUCUCCCUUGGCACAGGCUCAUUUGAUGCCAUAUUCUUAGCACAGGUAUAGAGGGUCAUGAAUGCAGCCAACCCGCUCUGUCUAGUUUGUGUAGUUUGUCUCCUGGUGUUCACUAUAGUCUUGCACAGUCUCAGCACAGAGCUGAGAUCUACAAUUUGUAAUGAAGUGAAAAGAAUGGGUUAUUCGGUUCCUAGGCAGGUGGACACAAGAUAAUUAGUGAGACAUAAACACUGAUGUGAGAUGUUUCUUGAAAGAGAAUGAGAAUAGCAAAGCUUUUCUUACAUUUGUGAAUAUAACACUUGAAGUUAGCAUUAGCAAUUUAGUGUCUCAAUGAAUAAGCAAUAUAGAAGCAAAUGAAAAACAGAAAGAGCCAGGUCUAUCCUGACCACCAGCGGUGGCCUGUGGUACAUGCAUGCCUGAAACUGAGGUCCACAAGAGGAAACCUGAUCCAUUUCUUCCAUUUUAACUUGUUUCUGUAAUAGAAUUCUGUAACGGAUGAUUUCAUGGUUACAUAUUUUUAUUUUAACCCUUUUUCACCAUAGGAUUAAUGGGAAAAAUCAAUUAGGUAAAUUAAGUAAGGUUACAUCAAUUCCACAGUGUUCGGGGAAAUUAUAUUAGUAUAUACUGAAGAUGGCUAUUCCAAAGGGAAAUAAAUGGAAUGUACUUUUGACCACAUGGUUAAUGAUGGCCUAUAUGUCACACAUAAGUAGAGAGACAGUGUUCUUCAUCAGUUUCGAGUUUAAAAUUGUUCAUAGUAUUAAAAGUGAGAGAAAUGUACCCCAAAUGAUACUAAGGCAAAAUUAAGAAGAAAGGAUACAUGGUAGAAACAUCUCAGCUUCUUUAUCUAGUCUCUGCUCCAUACUCAAAAAUAGCCAUACUGUGAGAGGAGGGUCCUCCAAGGUUAGCGAUUCUGUACCAUGCUGAGGACAGUGAUACCAAUGUCAACUGAAGACUUCAUGGCUUGGAUUGGGUGGCUUGAGGAAUCAUUGACCAAGUGGCUAUUGUGUUGCUAUUGAUGGCCAACUGAAUACCAGUGGUACAAAUAGGCACUGCAUGAACAUUUUCAUUCAUAAUAAAAAUAUGGAAAUAAUCAUGAAUUAAUGAAAUGGUAGGUCAAUGUUAGAGAGAGGGUUCAUGAAUAGAUUAGCAAUAAUACCUAUAAUAAUAAUAGCCCCUGCUCACCUUUGGGGAGGGUAUUGAUCAUAAGGGUUAUAAUUAUAAUUAAUUGUUCAAUAUGAAAAGUAGAAAUGUUAUAGAAAGGAGGACUCAAUCCUAGACAAUUGUGGAUCAAGGCUGCCAUAUGAGGCCUAGGCAGUGCUCUCUGGGCCCAGCUUCAUGCCCAGUUUUCGAUACUUCAUUCAAUAAGAUAGAAUGUAUUUGUUUUUAGUUUACAUGUUCAUUUAUUUCCAUCCUGUUAGUUUGAAAGCAUUGAUCCCUGGAUAGAAAUAACUUUUGGACUUUCAUGUCUUCUUUGGCUAGCAAUGAGGUAGACAGUAUAAUUAAUAGCUAAUAAUCAAUGUCUGGGUCAAAGAGAAAAGCAACAAAGGGCCUCCAAAUAAUGACCACCCGAAGGAAGGACAAUAAGCAAAGCCAAAGUUGAUUAGGCCAUCCUUUAAUGAGCUGCUCUGGUUUCGUGUCCUGGGCCUGGAUGCCCUGAGCUAGGGGAUGCAUCUUUCCAUGAGCUUGAGCUCCAUGGUGACCAUGUCAUGUGUCAGAAGCAUGAAAUGCUUCUUAAUAAUAACCACUGUGAUGGUUUUGACUUUCGAAAAGCAUUAAAGUUAACUAAAGAAACUGAAGUGUGCCUGUGGUAAACAUUAGACUUGAAUUAUAUAUUGCACUGAGUCCUUUAUAUGAGCUCCUGAGCUUGAUUUAUACAAUACAUCUGGACUCUCUGGAAGCAAUUAUUUAGGACCAUCCUAGUGGUUGUUCAAGAGUUUACUUUUUAUUCCAUUUAUAUGUGUUUUUAUAAGCUAUGAAACAAUCAACAAGCUAAUGUGCAGUAGAGAGAGAAUGCCAUUUUGGUUGUCACCUUCCUAAGUAUUCCACACUCAAGCACUUUCCUGUGACUCAGUACCCAGGAUCCCCCUUGACCUCCUGUGCCUCCCACCUCGCCUGGCCCUCAUAACCACCAGUCUGCUCUUGUCUUGCUUGGGAUCAGUUUCCUUGCAAAUGGACUCAUGCCCCUUCUUGUGCUUGAAUUAUUUCUCUUAAUUUCAUUAAUUCCAUCAUCCUUUUUUUUAAUAGUUUAUGUCUAAAUAAGAUCUGAUUAGGGCUUAGUACUUUAGUACCUUGACCAUGCCCAAGUUGUUAGAUUCCCACUCACACACAUUUCAGUAGCAAUAAUUUUAGACUCCAAAUGUUAUAUUAAAAAAAAAAAAGAAGAAGCUAUAAAGUUACGAGAGACACAAGGUUCAUCCCAGAGUGAGUAGGGUGUUGCUUAUGAACAAAAUACAUUGUAUACAUGUAUGAAAUUCUCUUAGAAUAUUUAAAAACUUUUACAUCCAUAAUAAUAUAGAAACUGAAAAAAAUACUUAUCAGAAAGAGAAGCCAUACUUUAAUUUAGAGUGUGAAGUGGCCUCUGGGCCCCUUUGGAAGCCAGUGAGGUCAGUGUGUUAUGCAUCAUCCUGAGCUUAGGAACCAUGUUUAUUGAUAUAUUUUAAUUUAUAGUUUAGAGUAAAAAUAGAAAUGCUGUAAUUAAAAAGGCAAACAUGAACCAGUGAUGGUGGCUGCUGUCAAUUUGAAUAAAAUAUGCUUGGACUCUGGAGUCAAAUGCAAAAGACAUACAACUCAUCGCCUCAUGAGACAGAGUAUUCAAGAAAGGUUUGGCGGUAUCCAAGGAUCUUGAUCCUGGCCUUUGUGUCAAAAUUAGAUGAAUGAGCAUGUCAGUCAUUCAAUUAAUGAAAUACUGUCUAACUACAAAAACACAGGAACAUUAUAGUGUGUUAGGAAACCAUUGCAGUCCAGGUUUAACCAUCCUGACUCUGUCACCUGUUUUCGUGGCUAAAACUAAACUCAUCCUCCGCUACUGUAGACAGCACGUGUUGGAGCCUUUAUUAUAAGUUGGGUGUGGUGCUAUGUAAAAUCAGUUUCUAAUUUAAAUAGGCAUCAUACGGUAAAUGCCAGUGUUCUCAGGAUAUGGAAAAUUUCAAAUUCUCUUUUUUGUAGAAGAAGUUCUUGUUCUCGUUUCUCAACCUGUGGGUUGCAACCCCUUUGAGGAUGGAUCAAAUGACCUUUACACAAGGGUUGCAUAUCAAAUAUUUAAAUUACAGUUCAUAACAGUUAUGAAAUAGUAACAAAGUAAUUUUUUUGGUUAGAGGUGUCAUGUGAACAUGUGGAACUGUUUUCAAGGGUCACAGCAUUAGGAAAAUUGAGAACCACUGCUCUAAGCUAAAUGUCAAGUUAAAGACAAGUAGGUAUAGUGUCUCUAUUUUCUCUGAACACUUUUUUUAAAUCAUGUGUUCUUUUUCCUACUGGUCCUGAUGGAAUUCUCCAUGGAAGAGUCUUCUCUGCUCUAUCUCUGUUGGGAGCCUGGAGGAUGAUGUAAGUAAUAUUUCUAAUUCCUCCUUUGCUUGAGGUGGUUUAUUUAGGGAGAAUGCACUGUAUUUUUUAAUUUUUAUGGUGUAAUCAUGUAAGAAACUGAAGCCAUGUUUACAUCUUAGAUAAUGAUGAAUAAUUAUACUGAUUACUAUUAUAUAUGAAGAGCUAAGGAGAAUUAACUGAAGACAUAUUUUGACCCAGACAUCAUUCUGGAUUACAACCAGCCAUGUUCCUGUUGGGUUUUUCCAAUCAUAGGCUUUUAGAAACAUUAUUAGUUACUCGAUAUACUGGUUAAUACACAGAAUAGAAAGAAAUGAAGGGGUACUGAGCCUUCCCUAGGUGACAGCUGUCAGAGCAUGAGUUCCAGCUGAAUGCCAUGUGGUUACAGCUCUGAGAUCCAACCAGAUGGAUAUGCUAAUAAGCAAGGUGAGUGUAGGUUUCCAUCCUCUGCUCUGAUCACUACUCUUCUGAAUGGAUGUUUUAGCGAGGAUGGAUUCUUCUCUGCCCCUCUCCUUGUUGCACACAUCCUUUCUCUUCACGGUGAACAAAAGUUAAGAUUUUUUUUUGCUGUAUUUUCCCACAGGUUGAUAGAAACAUUUAGUCAUUAUUCUAUACAUGUCACCAAAAGAUGUAGUGGUUGACAGGUUUAAUCUGUUAGGGACCUUCAUGCAUAUCAUUUUUUCCAUUGUUUAGUUUAUAUUUUUUUCUCUGUUAAUGAAACAAUCCACAAAGCUAGAAUGUAUUGUGAAUGGCGAUCUGUAGCCUCCUGAUAGCUGUGGCAUGUGAAUCACACAUGUUGAACAUCAUAUGUCUAGGACUCUGUGAUCUAUAACAAACGGAUAGGUCCUUAUUUAAACUUGGGUCCUAUGUUCAAGUAUCCAUUACAAGGAUCUCAUCUUUGUGUUCCUUUGUUUAAAUAUUAUCAUAAAAUAAUCAAUGCAGUUUCCACAAACAAAUGUAUGUAUAGAAAUUACAAAUGUCAAAAUUUGCUCAUUAUGAAAAUAUACAACUAGCAUGUAGGUAUUAGGAUUUCUAAUGAAGUCUCCCUAUAUAGACCAGUCUGGCCUCAGAUUCUCCACCCCGAUGUGUAGUUCAUUCAAGUGCUAGAAUUUUACUCAUUAUUCACUAAGCCUGUAACAAGAGAAAUUGUACUGGACUAAAGAUGAUGCAGACAAGUCAUUGUCAAUCAUUAAACUAUAUCAAUUAUACUGUCCAACUCCUGCUUUGUCCUCCACAGAUGGAGGUGCGGAGCUCAGUAGGAAACUCUCUUAGUUGCUACUUCUUGUCAUGCUGUGUGUUUGUACUUUGAAUAACAGCCAAUAAUCUUAUUUUCCUUGUUUAAUUGAUUAAAGGUGCCCAUAGUGUUAAUUAUGUUUUUAAAAUCAUAAACUGAUGGCUUUAUCAGUUGAGUGAGGCUGGGGAGCUGAAGCAACUUGAAAGUACUUUUCUUCCUGCCAUUCUGCCUGAUACCAAACAGAAAUGAUCUUGCACAAAGUGAUGCCUGUGGGUGACUUGUUGCUUGCUUACUUUGUGUGAGUUUCCAGUCCAGACAACCAUGUCCAUUCCCUCAUCAUUUCCUCAUUAUCCGGAAACUCCACCAUCCUGUUCCCCAACCCUUUAAGAUAUUAAGAAACUAUCAUCUAGAGUUGCUCCACAAUAUAUACAUAAGGUCAUGGAACUGUAACUUUGCAACUUUUCUUCAUUUCUCUCUUCUCACUAUACCAUCUGGUAACUAUCACUCCACUGUCAACUCCCAGUAAAUGAACUCUUUUGUGUCCCACAUGAGUGAGACCAUAUUGUGUUUGUCUUUCUGUGCUUGGACUAUUUCCUUCGAUAUGAUCAUCUCCAGUGCCAGAAGAUUACUAAAAAUUAUAAACUACCAUUCUCCUUUAUGGCUGAAAGAACCUGACAUGUUUCUUAUAUCUCAAGCACUGCUUCUUAACCUCCCUAAUGCUGCAAUUCUUUUAUACAGUUUCUUGUGUUGUGGUGAACUCCCAGCCAUAACAUUAUUUUCUUUGCUACUUCACAACCAUAAUUUUGCUACUGUGAUGAAUCAUAAUGUAAAUAUGUCUGUUUUCUGAUAGUGUUAGAUGACCCCUGUGAGGAGUCAUUUGACCCCCAAAGGGGUCACAACAAACAGGUUGAGAGCCACUAAACUGAUCUAGACUAAAUAAGGAGCCAAAACUCAAUCCAAAAUCCAAAACAGUAAAUCAGGUUCAAUAGACAUAAGUAUGCAUGUCUCAAAAAAGAAGCAGAUAGAUAACCAAGAAGUCUGUGCAAGAAUGCUCAGUGUGAUCAAUCGCCAGAAAAAUGCAAACCCACGUCACACAGGAUAACCCCUUCCUCAUUCCAGUUAGGUAGAUUUUAUCAAGAAAGGCUAGUUCUAGCAACGGCUGGCAAUGUGGUAGAUAUCAAACAUUACUGAAGACAGCAUGCAGGGUCCUCGGGGUUGGGAGGGAGCCCUCAACAAACAGAAUUGUCUGAUAACCCAACCAACCCUCUAGUAGGUCUGCAUAUAUAGAAAAUGGUGGUGCCCUUGUCAUCUAUAUCUAUCUAUAUCUACAUCUACAUCUCUACCUAUCUAUAUCUAUAUGGCCUUCCAUGUUCUCUGCAGUAAUCAAUACAAGAUCAGACAGACUUGAGUAGGCAUCAACUGGUGAUUGGAAAAGGGAAUGUGCUAGAUAGCUGCCCCGGACACUGCUCAUCCACACAAAAGCCUAAUGAGAGAUUGAUUUCAGUUGUUGUGCUUCCUGAUGGAUCACUGCCACACUGAGGCCAAUUAACAAAAGAAAGCCUCCAGAGGGCUAAGAUUCUACAGACAGAUGUUAGCUUGUCAAGCAUCAUGUUCUUAAGAGUUUUGUGAACAGAACAAUUUUAUUGAUUAACUUUAAUUGGUAACUUAGAAUAACGUAAAUUCAAAUUAAAAAGCAAGAGGCCAAUGAUAAUGGCAGUUGGCAGUGAGUCUUCUCCACUGCUUGAAACAUAUCUGAAUGCUAAUAGGCAACAACAUGCAGAGACUUGCUGUUCUCAACAAAGGUCACUGACCUUUGACCCUCUCACAGUGACCACAUAUCAGAUGUUUAUAUUAUGAUUCAUAACAGUAGCAAAAUUUUAGUUAUGAUGUUGCAACAAAAUUAUUUUAUGGUAUGGGGUCAUGACAGUAUGUGGAAGUAUAUUAAAGUGUUCCAGCACUAGGAAAGUUGAGAACCCCGUGCUAAACAUAUUUAGGUGUAUCCAAGGACCUUGAGGCAGAUACCUGUGUUGAUAUAUCUUAAUUCUGUCAUUAGAAUUAAGCAGUAGAACUAUAGUUCAACCGAUAACUGAUGUAUUAAUCAAAUACAACCUGCAGUGAUUCAGAAGUGCUUUGAUAUGUUAUGCAAACAGUAAGGCACAGGGAGCAAUGGUCAUAACUCAACACACUCAUCCUCUGCUACUAUAGACAGCAGGUGUUGGAGCCUUUCUUAUCAACUGGGUUUGGCGCGAUGUUAAAUUGGUUUCUAAUUUAAAUCAUUUCAAUAUCUUUUGUUAAGAUUAGAACAUCCACUGUUAAAUUAAUGAGUGAAUAAGUCAAUUCAGAAAGAAAAGCUAAAAAUCAAAGAUCUGUGGAAAGACUACCCAGUUUUCAUCUUCUUUAUGCUCACCUGCUCUCUUUGUGUUCUUUCCAAUGCUCUCCCACCUGAGCUGGAGCUGGAAUUCUCCGUGGUCGGGGCUCAGUGGUGCAUCUCUCACUCGACCCUGUAAAUCAGUGUAAGUAAACAGGCACACAUCUUGUUUUGGUUUCCUAUAUAUUUUUUCUCUGUUUUAAAAGUAUGCAGUGAUAGAAGUUAUAGUGCACUCUUCUUGGGACUAUGGUGAAUAUUUUAACUUAGUAUAUGGUAUAAUGAAACACUAAGCUCAGUUAAUUAAAGACAGGGCAUUGUAUCCCAAAUAGUAUAUUCUUGUUACAUCUAUGUAUCUCUAUCUAUCUAUCUAUCUAUCUAUCUAUCUAUCUAUCUAUCUAUCUAACAAGACUAUAAUUAUAGAUACAAUAUAUAUUACAAGACAAGUAAUUUAACUAUAUUUAUGUAUGUGUGUGUGUGUAUAUGUGUGUGUGUGUGUGUGUGUGAUUAUGUUCCAAUGCAUUACUAGUGGAUUAGUAACUAAAUAUCAUAAGAGUGAAGAGAGAUUGGGCUUUCCCAGGAUAAGUGAUCAUAACUGUCAGUAUAUGAGACUCAGAUAAUAAAUACAAUAACUCUGAGGUCCAACAUAAAAGAUAAAUGUGUAGGAAUGACCUCUGGAGGAGGAACAUUUCUUAUUCCCUGCAUUGUUCUCUACUCCUCAGAACUACUGCUCCUAUGGAAUGAGGUUCCUGCAUAUUUCACACUUACCAGUUCAUCAAUAGUAUUUCUGGGUUAUGUACCUCUUCAUCUUGGAACAGAUAUAAAUAGUAGUUAAAGUUUUCAUGGUUUUGAUGGCAUUCAAUUCUAUACUUUGCAUUAGUGAAUAGUGUAAAAUCUAACCACAUGUUAUUUUUACAAUUCAUAUGAAGUAGCAUGUAGAGUCACACAUGUACCCUUGCCUACUUUAAUGUUAGUUUGUCAGAAGCACGUUAGUGAUUGGUCCAUGUAUUUGGCACUGAAGAAAGUCAUUGAGGAAUUUAGUUUCUAGCAGAAAAAAACAGAGAUGUGUAUUAGUGGCCCUUUGGGGUAUAGAUCACAGUUAUACCCAUGAUGGCAUUACUUGAAUCCAGGCUUUUUAGAAAAGAUUUUAGGGAAUGAAUAUAUUAACAAUGACUGUAGUUCACAUGGACUUGUGAUAUCUUAUUUAGAAUAGUGAUAAGCACACACAUAAUUUGGUCAUCCUCCAUUGAGUAGAUGUAUCAGCAAAUAAACUAAUCUAUAAUAAUACAGGUACUCCUUACAUGGUAGCUACAAAUGUCCAGAAAAGCUUUGGCCAGAACAAACUGGGUAUCUACACUGAUGUGGUUAUUACUCUACCUUAUAUGCUUCUGUUUAACUUGCAUUGUACAAUUUACAAAUUCCCAGUUUAAUAGUAAUUAAUGCAAAACUCAAGUAUAAAACAAUGAGAUCAGUAGAAAUCAGUCAAGUGGAAUUUAUCUGGAAUGGUUGGUGACCGCUGUUUGCAUGAGCAUGCCAGGCAACAGGAGCAGGUGCCCAAACCCUGGAUGUCCAACAGGAAAGAUAAGUGGGUAAUCAAGAACUAGGAAAGGAGGUGGCGUGCUUAGGCCUCUGCUACUUUGUCACACUCCCUAUGUCGCACAAGCAUUCCUAGGCUCAAGCCAUCGUCCAAGGUCACCAGCCUACGCAUGAGCUGGCUAAGUGGUAGAGCUUAGAGAGCAUGUGAGUCCUGGCUGUUAGUGUUCAUGCAGUUUAGGUGCUUUGCAUUAUUUAGCAGAGAGGAGUAAGGGGCAUAGAGAUGACUGUGUAGGGAAGGCCUGAUUACCAUAGUUGGAUACUUAGAAUCAGGUUGGAAGGAAGAACAGGGUUCCCUGAAACUGGCCUAAUACUUCCACAGCUAUCUCCCUCAACACAGAGAAUUAAGCAUCAUGAAAAUGAAUGUGAAAUAUGAUUGCAUUAGGCCAAAUGUGACCAAUGAAACAAAUUAAAUUAUCAUGAAUUAGACCAUUGAAUUGGGCAUGCCUGUAAAACCAAGAUUCAUCACUGAAGGAGAAUCGGCAUGAACUUUCUCUUUGUAUAAGAGGAGCUUCGGGCUUGUUUCAGUGUUUUGGAAAGAUUAUAGAGGUUUCCAUGGCUAUCAGUGAAGAAGUGAUUCAGUGAUCAGCCAAUAGAAUAAUGAAUGCAAGAGAUCAGAGCCAUACCAGAUCAGUUGGGAACACAGUGCUGUAAAUCCAAGAGGAUCCACAUCCCUGUCUCAGAGGGCCAUCCAGUAGCAGGAAUGCACGCCAUGAUACUUAUUUCACGUUUUAAUUCUCUGAAUAUCAAUCAAACAUUAAAUAAAUAUCUAAAAGAAGGAAGGAUUCUUCCAUGGAAACAAGGCCCAAGUGAAUCUUAUGAUUUUAUGUGAAAAUGGGGAAGUAUAAAUUGUAGAUGAUGUCUUUGUUCUUGGCUAGGUUGAAGUAGUUCAUGUUGUAAAACAUGAUUGUUAAAAGCAAAUUCUUACAAUAUUGAAGGCAGGGAAUCUAUGAUUCAUCAAAUAUAUAUGGAAAUUAGAGGGUAAGUAACAUGCAUUUUAAUAUAUUCAUGAUCGAUGAGUUCACCAUAUGAAUAAGUAAAGAUUGUUUGUAGAUGACAGAGAAAAGUGCCCGAAAAGAAAGCAAUGAUGAUAUCAUGUGAGUGCUGAAUGGUGACUAUGAGACAAACAGACGUUGGAAGUCAAGACACUGAGGACUUUACUGUCAAGUUACAGAUAUAGUCCCACAUAUACCACCUAUAUCUUGUGAAUCUUUGGUUCAUGGACUUGAGUUUACAUAAAGUUAUCAUGGAAAAUUGAGAAAUGUGAGUUAUUUGAAUUGAAGUCAGGUAGUUAAAAUAAGGUAUCAAAGUUAAAUAACAAUGGUAGCAAAUGCUAGAGAAGUCAUUUGAUAAUAAUACUACUCAAAAUAAAGGCUAGUGAGGAAUGUCUGGCUUGAAAUGGGGUCACCGUAGAUGAUUUGAAAAGCAGGGAAGCUUACCCCACUCCCUUACAGAGAAAACCUGUAAGCCAGUAGGAAUUGUGGACCAACCUAGAGAGCAAGUCUCAAUAUCUUUAUUUCCUUCUCUGCCUUCUACCCUCCAUAGAGAAGAUUCAAGUGAUCUUAAAGGUUUGCAGUGAUGGACAGUCCCUGGGAUGCCAUGGCAACAAUUCAGAGCUCAUGGUGACUUGACAGCCUCAGCUCUGAUCCUUCAGUGGGAACCUACUUAUAGGUAUGGAAGGUCAUAAAAAAACACCAAAACCUGGGUGAUUAAGCAGAGAAUGCAAAAAAGCUAAUCUACUUAACUUGAAUAUUAGGCAGUGAGGUGCCCAAGCUCCAACUCUGACCUCCUUUAGGCAACUGUUUAUAGGUAUGGAUGGUCUCAUUAUAAAAUAGGUGGUUAAGUAGACUAUGGAAAGAGUUAACUCAGUGCUAGCUUGAGGACAAGACAGUGUCAUGCCCCACCACAGGGUAGUUUCCUACAGUCUCCCAAGUAUACCACAGUAGCCCAGGAGUGAGCCAUUCCCAAAGGCUCAAGAGAGGGGAGCAGCUCAGGACCGAUGAUGAGAUCUGAUGGUGUCUGAGUGUUUCUCGAUGACAUGAACAGAUAUCUGAGGUCAGGCAAAGAACAACUACAACUGGGCUGCAUUUUGGUGUUUGCCAAUGGUCUAAGAAAAGUAACAAACUUUUGAAUGUUGCCCUGACUGCGACCUAUUUCCAUUAGGCAAGGAAACAUUGCUGGCAGAUUAGGCAAACUUUGGGCAGAGGGGUGGAUCCAUAGCCUGUGCUUACAGGCAGGGCAGCACAGCUUAAAUACUCCUGGGGAUAGGGCGAUGAGGUGCUGGCCCCAUGCAGGAUGUCUUAGUGUAGACAGAAGCCAGCCUAUUUUUCCCUGGGAAAUGGCAAGAAAUUACUCUCCUCUGGGGACAGAAAGUACAAUUACAGCCUAGGCAAAGCUCAUGAGCCUAGGUUCUGUAACUGUGCAGGGCACAGCAUGGUACCUCAUAGGAACUCAAAGACAUCUCUCCCUUCUCUCCCCUGUACUCCUAAGAAAAGCUGGCUUGACUGAUGGUACAAGUGUGCUCAGAACGAGAACCCACCUCAAUCUUCACUGUGACAUCCCUGAGCCCUGCUGGUGAGAGGCAGCAUUUUGAUCUUCCUUGGCCACCAGCUUGUAGGAAGGCGGCUAGUGAUGGUAGAGGUAUGCAGUGAUGGACAGUUGCUGGGUGCCAUGGCAACAGUCCUGAACCAAUGGUGACUUGACAGCUCCAGCUUAGAUUCUCCUGUGGUCAACUGCUUAUGGGUAUGGAUGGUCCCGUUACAAAAUAGGUGGUUUAAGUAGACUACCGAAAGACUUACCUCAGUGCUAGAUUGAGGACAAGACAAUGUCAUGUCCCACCCACAGGGUAGUUUCCUAUAGUGUGGUCUCCUGAGUGUACCACAGUAUCCAAGGGGUCUCAAAAGAAAGGAGCCCAACUCAAGACCGAUGAUGAGAUCUGAUGGUGUCUGAGUGCUUCUCGAUGACAUGAACAGAUAUCUGAGGUCAGGCACAGAGAAACCUCAGCUGUGCUGCCUUUGGUGCUAGCCUAUGGCCUAGGCGCAGGGAGAACAGGAUUACCCUAAUCAGUUUUCCUCCUGAAACAGACUGGUAUUGUUUAGGUUAGGAAAAGUGGCUAUAGGGAAAGUCGGGUUAAGUGGAUAAGACCAUGAGCCGUGCUUGUGUAGGGGAACAGCACAGCUUGGGACUCCAAUAGUCAUGUGGACAGACAGGGGGAUGACAGGCUCACCACAUGCCGGAUGACAUAGUGUAGAAGACAGAGAGACAUUUUUCCCGGGUGUUGACUAAAAACUAGACAGCUUUGGAAUCAGAAAUUACAGGUGCAGCCUAGUCAAAGCUUAAGUUCUCUAACUGGGGAGGAAAUGGGGUGGUGACCCACAGAGUCUCAACAAUGUCUCUCCCUUCUCUGCCCUGUACCUUCAGAAGAGCUGACCUGACAGACGGUACCAGCUUUCUGGUAUCUUGACCUGACUUUGUGUUCCCCUUGUGACAUCUGAGAGCUGUUCUGACUGAGAAGCGACAUCUUGAUCUUCCUUGGCCACCAGCUUGUAUGUAUGUGUUGCGGAGGGAGAGUGUUUCUGCGUUAGUGCAGUAGCAUCAGAGAGUUAGGCUAUUAGUGCAAUAGCUAGUCUUGAUUUCUCAGGGUUUCUAAUGGCUGCUCUUCAGGGGCUGCCACACAACAUGUUCUAAUACCCUAUGAUCUGAGCUCUGCCCUCAACACUCACUAAGAAAUAAAGGUGUGCAGUUGGCGAGGGAGAGAGGGGGCCCCCAUCCAGAACUGAUGAUGAGAUCUGGUGGCAUUUGAGUGAUACUCCAUGAACACCAAGUAUCCAGAAAUCUGAGGUCAGUCCUGAUGCCUUACUAAGAACUAAGCUGUGGAUGGAGGCCCGUAGGCAUAUGCCUCUGCCUUGUGGACCUGUGGUGGGAGUCGAGGGCUUGAGUGCUCUUUGGCCUUUUACUCAGAAUCAAGGCUGGGGCAGCUUGAGAUCUGCCCAUGGAAUUGGGUCAGAGGAUGCUUCAAAAUCUACUUUAAUUUGAGGGAAAGCCACACCCACUCCCUAUGAGAGAAAGCUUACAUGACAGCACCUUUGAAAUCUAAGAAUCCUGGGCUAUUCUUGGAAGCAAGCCUCAAUAUUUCUAAUCCUUUCUCUGCCUUCUAACAUCCAGAGAGCUGACCCAAGUGAUGGGAGAAGUUUGCAGUGAUGGACAGUUGCUGGGUGCCUUGGCAACAGUCGUAGCCAAUGGUGACUUGACUGCUCCAGCUCUGAUCCUCCUGUGUGGCACCUACUUAUAGAAAAGCUGACCCAACAGAUAUUACCAGCAUGCUGAGAUGUAGGACCAACCUGUUAUCAUCGCUGUGACAUCUCAGAGCUCUGCUGACUUCGAGGAGACAUCUUGAUCUUCCUUGGCCACCAGCUUGUAGGAAGGGGACUCUAGUGGUGGGAGAGGUUUGCAGUGAUGGACAGUUCCUGGGAUGCCAUGACAACAGUCCAGAGCCAAUGGUGACUUGACAGCUCUAGCUCUGAUCCUCCUGUGGGCACCUGCUUGUAGGUAUGGAGCAUUGUGGUUAAGCAGAGUAUGGAUAGACAGUGUUAACUUAGUGGUAGCUUGAGUACCAGGUAGUAGGAUGACACACUUGCCAAGGAAUGAGCCAGUUACGAGAGAGGGGAGCCCAGAACAAUGAUGAGAACCAAUGGCAUCUGAGUUUUUUCUUGAUGACAGUUAUGUCUAAAGAAAUCUAAGGACAGGUACAUAGCAACUUCAGCUGGCUGCUCUUCUUUAGCAAGCAAACAUGGCUGGCAGGUAGAUGAAGUUGGGUUAAAUUGUGUAGAACCUUAACCUUGCAUGGGGAACUCACAGCUUGGAAACUCGAAGGGGCAUGUUGGGAGAUUGGUGUGCUAAGAUGCCAACCCUAUGCAGGAUGCCAAAGCAUAGAGAGGUCCCAGCUCUUUUUCCUUUCAAAUGCCAAGAAAUUAGUCUUUUCUGGGAAGAAAAAGUACAGAAACAGCUCAGACAAACCCAUCAGCCUAGAUUACCUCACUGUGGAGGGCAUGACGUGACCCACAGACUCAACAAUGUCUGUCCCUUUUCUCCUUGGAUUUAUCAGGAAGGCUGACCUGGUUGACAGAGAACCACCACCCCGUCCCUGUAUGUCCCAAAUCAGCAUAUUGUCUCAUGUGGAGUCUGGUUCAAGGUCUUGACAGGUAUUUGUUAGUAAUUGUAAAAUUUACAUGCCCAUCGAUUGUGAAACCAAGUCAAUAAAGUGUAUUUCAGUAGUACAUGGGCUGUCAUUGAUAAGAUUCCUCAUAACACUUACACUAAGGGCGCAGUAUCCCAGUUUCAUAGAAUGACUUCUCUGGUGCAUGCCAGGAGUUGUCAGAAUUUUUCCCUACUAGCAGGACUUCUCAUUUUGUCUUUCUUUUUUGUUUUCUGCUUUUCAUUUUCCACAAUGGCUGAUGGAUUGAUAUCAUCGCAGAAGUAUCCUGUUGUAGAGACGUUCUCUGAUCUCACUUUCUACACCACUACAACUGGGCCUUGCUGGGCUGAUUACAGACUUUCCUAUUUUUAAUGACUUCAUCAAGGUAAACAUGGGUAAAAGUCAAACAUUUUUGUCUAUAUUUUGGUUAGCAUGUCUGUAUUUUUACAAAGCAUGAAAUAGAAUCCUAUAGGUCCACUCCCACAUUGUUAAUUGGGGUGAAGACGGGCUUGUGUACUGACUAAAUAUGAUGUCUGAGCAUGGUUGAUAGCACAUGUGUUCAUAUUGCUGUGGACAGUAAUCUGAAUGUAUCAGAGAGCUGCUCUCCUGUUGAAUAUUUGUGUUCCACAAGCAUUGCUAAUGCAUUAUUAGCUUAGCCAGUAAACAGUGUCUAUGAGAAUGAGGAAGGGUCAAGCCAUUUCUGGACCAAUGAUGAUAGUUACCAAGGUAUGAGAGAGAUGACGAAUAACACUUGUCUGAAGCUCAGAGGUCCAACCCAAAAGAUAGGUGGGUAACAGAGAUCCUUGAAGGACAAUGGCAUGUUUUUCUUUUGUGCUCUGUUCUGUACUCCUCAGAACCUGUACUCCUAGGGUGAUUUCUGCAUUUUCCGUGGUCAGCAGUGGAACAUUUGCAUCUCUGCAUUGAGCUUGUGGCAGUGUGGACCAUGAGAUUAGACAAUCAUCCAAGGGUCAAGGACUCCAUUUGCACUACACUGAGGAGGCCAACAAGACCAGCGUGAGUUACAGCAUUCUCCUUGUCUUGGUUUGAGUAUUUUAAGAUAGUGUUUAAACAGUGUAUAGUGUAGUUAGUAAUGACCAUUUGAAUACCAAUGAUUGAUAGGGGGACCACAUAUAAUUGUCCAUUUGUCAUUCAACUAUGUUAACUAAUAUGAGUAGUUACAUGAUGGACAUAAUUACUGAAAUUCCAUGUACAGAUUAGGAAUUACUAGACUCUCAUAUUUAACUUUUUGUGGGGGUGGGGGUUUCUAGUCAUAGUGUUUAUUAUAAUUAAGUAAUUAAUAGGGAUAGUAAAAUAAUUGAAGAAAAGGAGAACUAAUCUUGGUUGAUGAUGACCACCGGUGGCAUUUGAAUUAUACAUGAUGACUUCGAGUCUGAAACACCAAGAUUUAACAGAGAAGAUAAGUGGAUCCAUGACAAUUGAUAGCAGUGGUGUCAUUGUUUUGUCCUCUGGUUUGCUCUGCCUUCCUUAGAAUGGAAUUUCCUAAGGUAUCUAUUCACCUUCAAUGGCUUCCCGCCCAUCAGUUGCAUGUGAUGAUGAUGUGAGAUCUGCCCAAACUUCUCCUAGUUUUGAUGGUUUGUGGAAGGUCUUUGCUGACUGGAAGAGGCCUCCAUGGGCUAGGAACUCUGCUGAUGUCAUGCGUGGUGCUGGGAAGACCACUUGAAGGAAUGAGGUGAUUGAUGAAUCUGUCAUGGUCAUGGCCUCUGCACUUUCCCAAGAAGAAGCACAUGCUGAAUGAAGUUGAUCAGAACUAAACAUGAAGGCCUUUGCCCUCUGCAGAGAGAGAAGAUCAUGGAAUGUAAGCAUAUAGUUUCCAGUGUAUGCCAUUAGCUCACAGUUUCUAUGGGUUCGUCACAGAAGAUAACUGGUUAUCUACAAUGACGCUAAUCUUCCAAGAACCCAACUUAAUUCAGUCUAAUACAAAUGAAUUCAAGAACAAAACAGGUCUUUCCUUAAUUUUCAACAACUGAAUGGAACACCUGCUGCUUAGGGACUAGACUUGUGGCCAUGCAGUCUGACAGCGAGCUUGCUCGCAGUGAAGGCAUGGACCUACAUGCAUAUGGGCUGAUGAUGAGAGUUGAAUGCAUCUGAUGGGGAAUUCAUGAUCACGUUAAACAGCUGAAGUCCAUCGCAUGAAAGAGUCAGUGAGCAUCCGUGAUAACAAUGAGUUCAGGAAAGUUGAAAAAUCUACCUGUGGUGUUCCUGAGGGCUCGUAGUCAUUGAGCUUGCUCAGAGAAUGAAUAAAUAUCUCAAUCAAUAAAGAUAUGCAAGAAGAGGGAAAAUGUGCCCAGUAUGUGGACCAAUUUUAAAGCAAGAAGUAGUAAUUCAGUUCUGAAAUGUCUUAGUCCAUUUGAGUAGAAAUGCUAAGGGUUCCUUAGUAUUUAAUUCAUUAUGGGAAAAAAAAAGUUAAGCAAGUAGGUGAGGGUUAAUCAAACAAAUGUGUGCAGCAUGACAAUUGGUGCUGAGAUGGCUCUUGUUUCUUUGUAUUGCUUUGCACUCAGUACAGCGUACGCACACUGCUCCUCUCAUCAUGGAUUCUUCAGGAUGAAGGUCGCAACACUCACCGUAUGGCUGGGGCUGUGUAGAUCUCAGUGAGUAACAGACCAAGUUUCCUGCUUCUUCUUUCUAUAAUGGUGAUCCCUGUCUAUUUGCAAUUGGCAUUUUGCGUCAUAUAGUCAAAGACAACUACACAUGUUUUAUUGCUCAGGGAGUCCUGAGAAGCCACAGUCAGUCUGUUUGUAUAAAUGUCACCUUACACUAUAGGGUUUGACUUCACUCUGGAACUGAGGUCACAGACACACAGGUACAGGCAAAGGCUUGUUCUUCUUAAGAAAGGGAUAUAGAAGAAAGGGCUCACACAGCAGCCAUCCUGGAAUUGUACACAAAGGAAGAUUUGCUUUAACUAGGGCCAUGUAUUGUGCUCCACUGAAGGAGUCUUUAGACAAAUCUAGAAAACCAACUCCCCCUGUUGUGUUUGGCUGUUAAACCUUUUCUGUUGAUUUAAUUUAUUUUUUGACAAUGAGUGACUAAAUUAAUCAGGAAAAUCCAUGCCCAGAAAAUUUAAAUGAUGGAGAUUAUCCCCAUGAGAACACUGGCCAUGAAAAUUAAGAUUUAUGAUCAACUCAAUUUUUUUUCUCUUAAACCCAUUUAAACAAAAAAGAUUUAAUCUGUUGCUUUUGUGUAUAAGGAACCCUCCCACAAACAAGUACUCAUUCUUUUUAAUUUAUUUUAUACUUUGAUGAGUUCACAAAACUGUCCUUAUCAUUAUUUAGUAAACCAAUCUUUUAAAAAGUAAAUUGGAAAUAGACCAGGUAUGGGUCAAAAUUUUAAAUAUUUUGCGAUAAGUAGUUCUUAGACAUUGAUACCUAUAGAAGGAACUUAGUGCCUCCUGUGUUUGUUUUAAUAGAGCACAGUGCAUGUGGCCACAUCGUAUGUGCUAAGAAGGUAUAUUUAUACUCUCUCAUGGCACUUAUUUGAGCUAUUGUUACCUAGCUUGGGCACAAAUUCUAACCUGUUUGCAGGUUGGUUAGUCAGCUCUGGUUCUCAGUAUCUGAGAAGAGGAGAAUAUUUGAUAUAAAAUUAUCCAUUUCUGCUAAUAGUUGUUGUCUUCCCUCCUUGUCAGAACUUGUGUCAAAUAUGGAGUCCACAUAGGAACCGGACCCUGUAACUAUGGGAUUAGAUAAUACCAAUUUACAAACCAUGUAACAGGCCAAGUGUCUGUGUGGCCCAGAAAUAGGAAGUUGGCAUUCUCUGCUCAGUUUUAGGUUUUGGAUUCUUUAUGAGAUGUGGCAUUGCUAUGUGGUGAGGGCUCUCACAACCUCAGCUUACUGCCAGAAGCACAUGCAGUGUUUGUUGAGUGAGUCAGGGGAUGAACGAUGACCAAAAAUAGGAAUAAAUAGAACGAUGCCUGAACGUAAGAUCCUUUGAGGAGAAAUGAAGGAAUGAAGUCAUGAAAAGAUGGAGGUCAGUGUCCAGCGCAGGUCAAUAAUGCAUUAAUGACUAACUUAAAAAGCCAGGGAGUAUAGGGCAAGUCUGUGAGUGGAUGCAUGAGUAAGCAGGCCAGCAUGAUAAAAGUGAGUGAUAAAAGAUGAAGCUUGUGAGUGAAUGAAUGAAUGAAUGAAAUGAGUGAAUGAAAGACAAACACACUAGUGGGUCAGCCUGGGAGAAGUAAAUGUGCAUUCUUGAGUGCAUCAGCCACUUCGUGAAUUCCUGAAUGGGUUUAUGAAUGGAUGGGUAAGUAGGUCUCCUUUCUAAUAAAGGAGUAAUGAGUCAGCAUUUGGGUCUGUUAAUGAGAGAAGUCAUUGUUGGCUAGAUGAAUGAAUGAAUGAAUGAAUGAAUGAAUGAAUGAAUUACCUACUCAAGGGUGUGUGACAGGAUGGAAAAAUAAAAGGAAGAAAAUCACUAUUACAACUACAUUAAUAAUUGUGUAACUGAAAGAAAUGAUAAAUGAAUAAGUGAAUGGAAGGCCAAUAGGUGGAUGAAUGAGCGUCGCAUAAUUAAUGAAUAAAAGAAUUGAUUAGGUAGCAAACCCGUCAGCAAGUAUACAAUUAAAGAAUAAGUUGUGUACUGGCGAAUGAGUGGCUGAACUAGUGAAUGAGUUGAUGCAUGAAUGAGUGAGUCAGCUGCCUGGGCGUGAGGCAGUGAAUGAACUCACAGCUCUUCCUUCUCUGUUCCAAGGAGAGUGGCCACGCCCAGCUCCACACCAGUUGUAAAUACUUGAGCCAGAGCUCCCUACUUUCUCUAUCAUGGGCGUUUGUUUACAUGUCAGCACUAAACUAAAGAGUCUGGAGGGCCAGGAACUGGGUCAAAUUCUUCUGUUUAUCCCCACCCCCUGCCCAGCCUUGAGCCUGGUAGGCGCCCAGUAAAUUAUUGCUGAAUGAAUGAGCAAAUGGCUAAAAAUACAUGUGCUUUUGUGGAACCGGUAUGGCCUGGUGGCUGCUCUUUGGAGGAGUGUGCUAUGUGUCAGAUGGUCCAUGGCAUCCUCCCUGCAAGACCAGAUUCUUGCCAGGGCCGGGCUUCCCAUGCCAGAUAAUGAGACACGAUACUGGCAGUUCUUACUGCCCGGGACACUGGCCCAUCCUUGGGUAACUCUGGCUUGGCAUGGUAGAAUGGAAGCCCUGGGUCUUCCCGAAAGCUAGCCUAGCCUCUGCCAAAAUGGGAGAUUAAAAAUAACCUAGGCUUGUUUUUAUGCCUCUGCUGAGUGGGCGCAUGCCUUGCCUCUCCAAGCAAAUCAAAUUCCUUUGACUUCUAAUCGUGGGACUUUGAGUUUAAUGAGAAGCACUGGAUCCACAGUAUGCCUCAGCUAUAGGACAACACUACUUUCCCGAAGAAUUUGUGCGUUCCUUGGGAGCUUAUUGUAGGCUAUUGGUGGUUUUCUUGUGUGCAGUAUCACAUCUAGGAGAGGAGAUACCCUUAAAAAACUAAAAAUGACUGUUCUGUCCCCUCUCCACCCAUUGUGGUUAUAUUUAUUUGGUCAGUUCAGUUGUUUUCUGAAUUAUUUCUGAUUCAGUUUUUCUGAAUCUGAUUAUACCUAGAAGAUUGGAGAGGUCAACCAAGUUCUAUGAGGGACAGCACAUAAGGCAAGCCUGCCCAGUCGAAGCUCUGCAUGCCCUUCUGCCAGAGAACAGAAGAUUUAAAAAGUAACUUGGCAGCACUUUUUCGUAUAUGGGGUACUUGCCUAAGAUCCACCAUCCAUGAUCGCUUCCUUCUUCCCUUCCUUCCUUCCUCCCUUCUCUCUCUUCACAUAGAGGUUAUGUCUAGCAACUCCAUAUGCCUGACACUGUGUGUUCUUCCUUGCUGUGGUAGUUCCUGACCAUACACUCUAUCCCUCAUUCCUCGUUCACCGUCCUGCCUUCGGACUGAAUGAUGAUGUGGGAUAUGGUUCAGCCAUGAGGAUUCAGUUCUGACCAUCCACCCUCUUCACACCAAGUCAGGUAAUUUCUCCCUUUCCUGACACUCAAGUUUUGAUUCAUUUCAUUUGGAUUAUUCAGCAUCUGAGCAUGCUUUAGACCUCUAGGAGAAGAUCUCAAACUGUGUUUGUGGCAGUGACUCUUGAGUGUUGAGGCUUGGUAAGCAGCAAGAACUGUUGGCUAGACUCUAAAGCUUUUUCAUACAUACGUAGAAGAGAUGAGAGUUAAGUUCCCCCUCAUUGCCCAGAAUUUGUUGCUAAGCAAAGCAACUGUUCUUACAGUAUUUACCAGCGUCAAAGAAGCCAUAGUUUCUCUUGGCAUUACUAUUCUGUCAUUAUCACCACUGCCGCCAUCAUCACCAACACCAUUAUCACUCCCACAAUCACCUCCAUGAGCAUGACCAUCACCACCACCACUACAACCUUCAUGAACAUCAGCGCUACCACCAAUGCCAUCACCUUCCAUAGCACUGUCACUACCAUCAUGAAUACAACCACCACUACCACCAUGACCACUACUCUUAACUGCAAGAACAGAGGUACCACCCAUACAACCAUCACAAUAAUCAUAGCUACCAUAAUAUAAUCACCAACAGCACUAUCAGCACCUUCACAACCCCCAAAACGUAAAACAUGUUACCUCCAACAAUAACAACAUCGCCAUCACCACCAUCUGUCAUAUCAGGCCACCAUCACUAGCAGCAAGACUGUUCCGGGAUCCUCUUGUCCUGAGACACAUCACCCAAAUUCUUGAUUUUACUUAGCCUUGAAUUUGACACAUUCAGAUAUUCCACUUUGGCUAUGUGUGAUCGAUAGUACUUCAAGUAGCCCCUGGUAUCCAUGGAUGAGAUGCUUGGUCUUGAUGGCCAAGCAGAAGAAGUUGGUACAAAAUUUGAGCAUGGAAAUUGCUGGGGAAGGUACAGAUGAAUGAGGGCCAACGCACACACACUUGUAUGUCCAUCCUACGUUCAGAGUAUGUGUCUAGCUCAGGUCCAGUAUCCCCCAAGCAGAGAUGGUCCCUGCUCAGUGCCAGGACCUUCCAGCUCUACCCUGAUUUUUUUGCCUGUGCCUCGUUAGGAGAUAUGUAACCCUAAUCCUUGAAAUUGCCUGGCAUGAGUUUUAUUUCCUACUUAAAUAAAACUCCCUACCCAUGAAGUUUGGACAGGAUGUAGGCAAUUAGACUAGGGCUUGGAACCAAUUAUUUUGCAAAAGGCCUCUUUCAAAAUUUGAAACCCCAUGGUCACAGCCCAGAGCUGAGUUUGACUUGGGAAUUGGGAGAGUGUGUAUGCUGUGACCUCCUCCCAAAAGCUGGAUACAAGUCCUCCUGUCACUGAACCCAUAGACAACUUGCAAGGCCAACCUUGUGGUUUAGUUUUGCUUUUCUGGUGGUACUGGAAAGAGUUUGGUCCCCUCCCAUAGUUUUGUUUUCAAGAUGUUGGCAAAAGCCUCAGUCCUCCCCUAGAUCAUAGGAGUUUGGUCCUGAAAUCAUUGAACAGUGUUUGGGCAUGGAUGGGUAUGGAGUUCUGGCCCAGGCUGGGUGCCGUUUGGAGUGAGACCAGUGUGAACUGUGUCCCCGCAGCCUCACCAUUCCACAGGCAGGAAUGAUUAGGAGGUCCAGUGGUGUUUUCUUUCCUCAACCAGGAAGGUACCCUUGUGUAUCCUUGUAGCAGCACUAGAACUCAUCUGGAAGAUAGAAAUUGGUUUCAUUCUGUUCUUGUGCAGAAGUCUCUGGUGUGUGCUGUGCUGUGGUGAGCAUGCCUCACGCUGCUUGGGCAUGCUCUGUCUGGCAGACUGCUGGAAGCAGGCCUGAGUUCCCCACUUUACCAGACAGACGGGGUGCUUUCUCAUCUUUUCCGAGCCUUCAAGGCCCACCUGUGUGUGCUCAUGUAAGAAGUCUCCAUCUCCAGAUGGAGGGGAACAGGCUGGCCUCUCUGGCCCAGCUCCAUCCACCUGCCUCCCAAGUGUUUCUUUGACCUUAAUAAAGGGAGCCAUUUCUUUCUUUCCUCCAUCUGUGACAUGAUCUGAGGCUUGCCAUUGUGUAGCCUGGCCUCAGUUUUCCUAUCUGUAAAAGGGUCACCAUGGUAACAUCAGUUCUCUAUUAUCCUUUUAGUGUUAGAGGCAGACAAGAUUUGUUUUCCUGGCCUACACUUUGGUGCACACUGUCUUCCUUCCCAGCCUCCCAGGCCUGCCUGGUACCCUUGCUUAGAUGCGUUUUCAGUGCAGGACUUCUGGCUUCUCUUGGGGCUAUGUCUCCUUUCAUCCUCUUCUUGAGAACUUGGCUGUGUGGAGACAGGUGCCAGGUUGUGCUCUGAUCUCCCGGCACGGGAAGGCUCAGCAUUCCCAUUUGUACCUCCUGUCUCCUCUUCCUGAGUUAGCCUUUGAGCCAUCUUUUACACGGCUAAGGACAAGCUGGAGGAUAGGGCCUGACCCAGCUCUCCAUUCCUAAAGUCCCCUCUCUCAGAGCAUGAAGGGUUUCUCUGGGUCUACUGAGCAGACAGGUUUGGGAACCUGUUCCACUGGAUGUUGUUUUGUGACUUGCCCACUUUGUCUUGGAAGGUCCCCUGACACAGAACCUUCAGAGACUUGGUUACCUGAUCCAGCUUCCUGUGAAGAAAAAUGGCAGCGCUACAGUGCCUAUCUUACUGGGAAGACUUCUCAGCCAAUGUGGUGUUCCAAAGUUGGGGAAGAUGCCAGAACGAGACAGCUCUACCCUAGAUCACACUGGUAGGUUGCAGCCGACUCGCUUCUAACAGGUUAGAUACCCCCAUACAUGUCCAACAUGCUUUGGAGGCACGGUGACGGGCUUUCAUUCAGCCAACCCCUGCCACAGGACUGUGUGUUAUAUAGAACAUCCACUGUGUCAGAUGGUGCCUAGAUCUGUGCCAUUCACACACACACACACACACACACACACACACACACACCCUUGUAAUGAGGGACUUGUGAUCAGCAGCGUUCUAGCAGUAGAAAAGCCAGCCUGAAGUCGGCACACACAUUUGCCCAGUGAACUUUAGGAUAUGAAAUUUGUUCUUAACCCUUAACUCUACCCAGUUCUGUGCUCAGCAGUAGAGUUUUCUGUGGGGUUCCAGCUAGGACAGGGCAUCCCCACCUGAGGUUCAUGAGCUCUUUUUACAGGGCUUUCAUAUCAGAUACUUACAUUAUGAUUUAUAACAGGAGCAGAAUCACAGUUAUGAAGUAGCAUCAAAAAUAAUUUUACAGUUGGGGGUUACCCAACAUGAGGAACUAUAUUAAAGGUUCACAACACUAGGAAGGUUGAGAGCCAUUAGCCUAGGGGUUGGGACCUCACAGGUCCUGCCUGCUUCUUCCUUAUUCUGCAGGAUGUGGGAAACUCACUUCCCUUCCUACUAACUUUAUAAUGUGUCUGUUUUUAGAGUCUUACCUUUCCUGGAAACUGCCCAGACUCACCCCCAGAGGGGUAGGUUCCUUCUGACCACCCACCUACCUCUUGGAAGCAGAAUCUGAGGACCAUUCCUGAACCCCACCCAAUGAACUGCUCUUGUUGAAGUUGAGAGCUGCUAUUCCUGGGGUAUCUCCCGAGGCAUAAUUUCUGGGGUGCCCUGGUUCCCUUCAGUGAUCUCCUAAACCUGGAGAGAUAAGGCAUGCAAAUGGUCUGUGUUGGUGGGAAAUAUUUUCAGGCAAUUCUGUUGACUGUCAGAUUUUAAAGGGGUUUUGGUUGAUCUCCAGGGCCCACUGAACCAGACCCUUAAGGUUAAGGCAGAUCCUCCUGACAAGGCACCAGGCACUUUGGGUCUCCCUUUGUUUGCUUUUUGACCAGUGCUAAUUGAUACUUGAAGGAGAGGUCAUCCGUGUUGUCUUCUCUUUAUUUAUGAUGAAACAUACACGGGAAACCUCUUUUUUAGUGUCAAAUCCCACCCAGGAGGCACUCCCUGUCCCUGAUGAAGCCUUCAGGGAAGGGACCUGGACUCUGUGACAUGGACCAUGGGGGUGUGGCCUCAGGACUCGGCCCCGGAAGGAAAAUCAUUUGAAGAAGGGCCAGGGUCCCUGUGGUGGCUUUAGGCUGCUCCCUAUGGCUUUGGACUAUGAGGAGACUCUUGGUAUGUGAUAGCUUUUCAGCAAGGUCCUCCUCACAGUAGCUAUAAGGACGUGCCAGCAACAUGACUGAGGGGACAGUAGUGCCCACUGCUCUCGGGAUAGCUGUGUGGGUGGUAGACCAGUGACGUACACUUUAUUUAUGCUGUAGGUCACCCGUUUUACUACCCACUAGCACCCAGACCAUCUGUGGAUUGACCCUUGAUGCACAUGACAGCUAUGAAGAAGAUACUGGUGGGGUUGAGGCCAGUGUGAAACUAAAAUAUUUCUAGUGGGGUUAGCUUUUAGCUUUUAAGUAUAUUCUUUUCCUGAGAGAGAGAGAGAGAGAGAGAGAGAGAGAGAGAGAGAGAGAGAGAGAGAGAGAUUAGAGAGAGAGAUUGAGAUUGAUUUUGUGUGUAUGCAUGUGUGUGCAGGCCAGAGGUGUCAAGUAUCUUCUCUAACCACUUUCUAUCUUAUUUUUUUGAGACAGGGUUUCUUACUGAACCUGGAGCGCACCGAUUUACUGGCUGGCCAGUGGACCCCAGAGAUCAGCUUGUCUCUGCCUCUCUGGUUCUCGGAUGACAGGUAUGUACACAGAGCGUGUCCUUUCUACAUUUAACCCAGUUCCUCAUGCUUGUGUGGCAAGAGUCAUCUCUUCUCCUCAUCUCCUCUUCCUCUCUCUUUUAAUCCGUAGUACCACAUCCUGCCAUAGGUGGGUGUCAGGCUGACCACAGAUAGAUUAUGAGAAGGGCUGUUCUUAUCAGCAUCCACAGUGAAACUCUGUCCUAAUCUAUGCUGAUGUAGGACAUGUGAGGUACCUGCUAUGGGUCCAUUGAAUCCGUGGUUGGGCCUGAGAUGGUAUGUGUGAGUCAGUACCUGUGAACCUUAUGCCAACCUGGUUCUAUGAUACUUAAAAACCAUGUGUAAGCUUACCAUGGGUGUGACUGGCAUUUUAUGAUCCAUAUGUUUACAGUAAAGAAUACCAUCCUGGAGGAUCUCCUGAAUGUGAAGCUAUAACCCAAGCAGGAGCACAUUACUCCUGGUAGGUGAGUGACAGGUCUCUCUAGCCCAGCAUCAAGCCCACAUCUGUCAAUGAUGGCAUAGGCUUCAUUGUUCUUGCUCAUCUCCAUGUCUGUUUAAUUUUGCUUGUCUUCCAAGGAUUCAAAUCAUUGGCUGCUUCCCAGCACAAGUUCCUGCCUAGGACAUGUAUUUCAGAUGUGAUAUCUCCUUAGGGAAGGACACCAGAGUCCCCAUCAAUGGAAAAGGCAUGUCAAAGUGUUUUUGUCUGAAAGAAUAUAUUGUAUUUUCAUGUGUUUCUUUCUCUACUAAUGCUGAGUAUGUCUUCCAUACCUAGGAGGGCCUCCUGAUGUAUCCCUACCCUGGGGGUGAAGGUGGCUUCCAUGCCCCUCCCCCAAGCUCCUGGCAAGCGGUUCUUACAGCCAUGGCAGAGACACAGAAAGCAAGGGUCAUAAGUCGCAUUCAGGACAGCUGCCGGAUAAUGGAUGGACAUUGUAUCCCCAGACCCCUCACACCCUCAGAAUCCUAGAAUCUGCUGUUUCAGCCUGUUUUUGCUGCUUCUCAGUACUCUGUGAGCUGUUUGUUGUAUUUGUCACAAGUCACUUCUGGGCGUGGGGAGUGGUGGAAGGAAGUAUCCCUACAGGGGACCCUGGGGGGUUGUCACCUUAAUGGGGUGACCUGGGAAUCAGAAAGACACCAGGCAAUCACAGUUCAUUUAGGCAGCCCUGGAUUCUGCCACCCUAGUUCUUUAUCUUUUUCUUUCUUUCUUUUUUUUUCCCUCAGAUCCAGAAGAGGACCCUGGAUUUGAGGAAGGAGAUUGGAGUUUGGCACCAUCCCAUUUCCCCUGAGUGAUACUCCAGAAAGACUGGCAAAGAUGGUAGCCAGCAUCUCAGGAUCUUCAACUCCGAUGACCAAGUUCUUCAAACCAGGACUUCCUGGCAUCCUUAGGUAGAGUGGCUUUGGGCUGCGUUGCUAUGGCAGGGAUGAGUACUGAGCCAUUCCUCUCUCCUCAGGACCACCCCUCUGCCCUUCUCUCAGCCAAGUAUCUGCUUCACCCACCACCCCUCCUCCCCGCCCCUUAGCAUCCCUUCACACUCAGGCACACUGCUGGAACAACUCCCUCCUGCCCCUCAUCAUCCCUCCCUCCUGCCCCUCAGCCCCCCUCUGCCUGCCCCUCAGC